CUNUANAUUAUACUGUGAAACUGCGNAGAGCUCAUUAUAACAGUAAUAAUUUAUUNANCACNACNCGGAAACCUGGAGAAAAUCUAGAGNANGUGCGUAAAGUCCCGACUGGGGGGGUGGGGGUUUUNGCCUCUCUCUCACCCAGAAAGGGUGUGCUUCUUUUAUAAAAAAAAUAAGUAUUCGGGCUUCUGGGCGCGCGGGGUUGUGUGGAGGCUUAAAAAAUUAUCCCAGCCCACGUCCUCUGNGCGGUGGACAGAUCACUCACAUUUCUNCGCCAUAACCUAUCNAAAGAAGUGUAAUGAACAACCCCGGGGCCUCCGCGGAACAGGGAAUAUANAUAAGUCGGCNACGAUUCAUUCGAAUUUCUGCCCCAUCAACUCUCGAUGGUAGGAUAGAGGUCUNUUUUUGGUCGCAACGGGUAACGGGGAANUNCCCCGANUUGGCGGGGUUCCUCCCCCAGGGUUUACAACUGGGUUGUACUCACUGUGNAACCCCACGGNGGCGGGGGGGGNGGAGNUC
rnacentral:rRNA from 1 species